UACGUAGGGCGCAAGCGUUGUCCGGAAUUAUUGGGCGUAAAGAGCUCGUAGGCGGCUUGUCGCGUCGGUCGUGAAAACUUGGGGCUUAACUCUGAGCUUGCGGUCGAUACGGGCAUCACUGGAGUUCGGCAGGGGAGACUGGAAUUCCUGGUGUAGCGGUGAAAUGCGCAGAUAUCAAGAGGAACACCUGCGGCGAAGGCGGGUUGCUGGGCCGACACUGACGCUGAGGCGCGAAAGCUAGGGGAGCGAACGGG
rnacentral:rRNA from 1 species